rnacentral:rRNA from 1 species
ACGGAGGGUGCAAACGUUGUUCGGAAUUAUUGGGCGUAAAGAGCAUGUAGGCGGUCUGUCAAGUCUGAUGUGAAAGCCCGGGGCUCAACCCCGGAAGUGCAUUGGAAACUGGCAGACUUGAGUACGGGAGAGGAAAGUGGAAUUUCGAGUGUAGGGGUGAAAUCCGUAGAUAUUCGAAGGAACACCAGUGGCGAAGGCGGCUUUCUGGACCGAUACUGACGCUGAGAUGCGAAAGCGUGGGGAGCAAACAGG